rnacentral:lncRNA from 1 species
AAGAAGAGUAACCCGUGCUGUGUUUAACAGCAGGGUUUUUGUUUAGCCGUCACUCAGGGUAUUUCGUGCAGGCAGAUCAUCAGGCAGCCUCCUGUAGGGGGUCCUUAAAAACACGGAAGCAUGCCAGUGUUUACAGGCGAGUGGAAGAACACGUGUGUGUGUGUGUGUGUGUGUGUGUGUGUGAGAGCAGCUGCGCUGAUCAGCAGAGGGAAGGACAGCUGUUAUAACAUGCUGCAGUGUGUGUCUGCUGGUCACUAUCAUGGCUCUCGCGAACCUCAUGCCUCACACACAUGGUGAAAUCUGACCGGUUACUGACCCCAACAACGGUAGUGUAUAAUGUGACAAAAGAUUUCUGUUUCAAGUAAAUGCUGCUCUCUUUUCAUCUGUGAAUCCUGAAAAAUAAAAUGUAUGACAGUUUCCACAAAAAUAUUGUGCAGCACAACUGUUUUCAACAUUGAUAAUAAUCAGAAAUGUUUGUUGAGCAGUAAAUGAUCAUAUUAUUCUGAUUUCUGAAGAUCAUGUGACACUGAAGACUGGAGGAAUGAUGCUGAAAAUACAGCGGAGCAUCACAGAAAUACAUUACACUUUGACUCAUUCGUACAGAAAACAGCUGUCCACCUGUCACUCAAGUGGUCUUAAUUAUGCAGAACUUUAAGGCUUAAUUUAAUUUAAACAGAUGAGUUAUUCACCCCCUCACCAGGCUGUAAACGUUUUUUUUUUUCUGCUGUAAAGUUGGCCAUUUUAACAUGGGAGUCAAUGGAACUGACUGCCUUUUGCAGCCAGCCUCAAGCGGCCAGUCGAUGAAUUACAAUCACUUCUGUAUGGGUUUCACGAGAGAGAGCAGGAGGUUGCCGCUAAAGACAAACAUUAAAAUCUGAUAAUUUCCCACAAAAAGGUUAUUUUGGGCUGGUAGAGUUCACUAGUUUGUUUAUGUAAUCUAGGGCAGGACGAUAUGGCAAAGUUGUUUAUAUAUGUGUUUUUUUUUUAAGUUGAAAAUGUAACUACAACAUGAUUCAAGUAACUUUUUUAACUCUCUAGUUGAAGAAAAUUCUAUUCCAAGUGCAGCACACAUGAAGUUGUCAACAUGAUGUAAAUGUUAAACAAAUCACUUAAAGGUACAGGUUGUAGGACCUGCCACUAGACGGCGCACUACCAAAACAAUAACAAUCACGUGGUUUGAUGACACUAAGAAGGAGCGUGGAAUGAUGGGAUUUGUUGUCAUCUACCCAACCGCUGACGGCCAUCAAUCAGACGAUAUGAAAAUGAACCACUUGUUAAACAAAUAUAUACACUCGUGUACAUUCAAACACAAUAAUUGGGCAUACAUAGCAAACACGAGUUCAACGAUUUGAGCGAGUAGAUUACAUACAAAGUCAAUGCAAAGACGUGAUCAGACUGUGGAUCAGACGCGUCCUCGUGCAGGUCUAGAGAUGCAAUGCCCCGCGUUUGGCGUGUAUGUGCCCCAUAAUAUUAAUCUUGUUUAUCGUUAUUAUAGCAUACGUUUUCUGUAAAGAUAUGAAUCAAAACAACUCAACUGUCAAGUAAAACACAAGUGAGAUUGGCAUCUCUUUCUAGUUGAAGUUUGAUGCGAAGCUCUCUCCAUCUAGAAACUGCAACACCGAUAUACAUCCUUGCUCUUUCUCUCCUCUUGUCCCAAACUCUUCUUGGGUCGUUUGGUUGGCCCAUACGCUUACGUUUACGGGAGCUGUCCUUGUCAACUGAACCAGCAGCAGACGCCGGUAAACACUAAUUAUGUUCAAUAAACACAAUCCACCAUAAAACGUGCAAGAAGAAGUAAAUAAGGAACUGCUUGAGCAAGCUAGUGGUUUGUCGGACGCUAGACACUACUUCCACAUUUGUCCAGGACACUGUUGUCAUGUGGUUUCUACGUCAGUAAAGGCGGUCACAAAGUGUGUGUGUUGAACUAACGUCAUUGACAGGCGACUGCACUGCCCCGUGUCACUGUUUAAAAUGGGCAUUUUGUCAUGAAUUACAAGUAGUUGAAAACUUUGGAGAUAUUGUUAGUAAUCAGCUGGACAAAAUAUAUAACACUAGCCUAGUGGUUUUUGGAUAUUUUACUGCAAAUACCUUACAAAUUGUACCUUUAAAUAUCUUGCAGACAAGAGGCAUGAACUACAACUAGAUCCUGUACAAACUUGUCUUACACAUAUUAUAUGUUCAGAAUAAUAUGAGGAAAACGCUUUAAAAAAUCUUAAUGACUUAAGGUAUAACACCAGUAGACUUAUUAAGUAUUGUUGUUCUUUAAAAAAAAGAGCAGCUUUCAGUCUGUCACCAUGAUGCAAAAAUGACAUAUCAGACAUACAGUAGUUGUUCCUUACAUGUUUUUUAUUAAAUUGCACUGCUUUUCCAUUAUUUUUCUGUGUAAACAUGGAAGCGUUCGACUGUUGCACUCAUGUCUCAUGUAUGAAACGGCAGUCUAAAACAAUGUGCUCAAGUUACAGAAGUUCAAUCCCAUCUUCUUGCAUGUUUUUCUUAUUCCAUUGGUGCUUCACAAAAGUGCUUUCUGUGUGAAUGCUGGCUAGUGAUAAGAGUGGUUAAUCAUGUGCAGUUGGAUCAUUCUGUUCUCUUUACUGUUAUCAUUGUAAUAUUGUCAAAGUGUCAUUCUAACGUUUGGAAAUAUUUCUAUUCAAAAUCACGAUUCCUUGAUUCCCAAAAAAUAAAAUUGUGGAAAAAAUAAUAAUAAUUUGAAUUAAUCGAUAAAAUCUGAAAUAUUGCACAGCCCUAACAUAAUCUUGUACUUUGUACACAAUUAUAUUAUUAAAGCACCCAAUAAUGAUGUUGUCACGGAAACGAACCCCGUGAUUCCCUCUACUGGCCAGCAGAGGGCUCCAUCUCCGGAAUACUGACUCUCACACUCACCUAUACUGAUUCGCACUACACUACCCAUCAUCCCCGUACCCCCACUCUGAUCACCUACAGGUGCAGCUCAUUGGCACGGAGAUAUAAGCUGCACAACUCCAUCAGCCAAACGCGAAGUCUUGUUUUGCUCCGGCUGACAUUUCCAAGCGUUAUUUCCCGUGUUUGAUUUCCUGUUACCAGUACUGUUUUGCUUACCGUCUCUUGAACCCUUGCUGCCUGCCUCUUGACCUUGGAUUGUUUAUUGGACUCUGAAUCUUGCCUGUUUCCCCUGAACCUCUGCUUGUGUUUGACGACGAUUCUGAUUAUCUCUACUGUUGUGUUUGCUGGUCCCGAUCCCCGCCUGUACGACCUCGAAU